rnacentral:rRNA from 1 species
CCUACGGGCGGCAGCAGUAGGGAAUUUUCGUCAAUGGGCGCAAGCCUGAACGAGCAAUGCCGCGUGAACGAGGAAGGUCUUCGGAUCGUAAAGUUCUGUUGAAGUGGAAAUAGAGCGGAGAGAGGAAAUGCUUUCGGAUUUAUAUUACCCUUCGAGGAAGUCACGGCUAACUACGUGCCAGCCGCCGCGGUAAUACGUAGGUGGCGAGCGUUGUACGGAUUGAUUGGGCGUAAGGGGUGCGUAGGCGGUCUGCAAAGUCUGGAGUGAAAGGUACCGGCUCAACCGGUACAGGCUCUGGAAACUGGCGGGCUAGAGAGCAGGAGAGGGCGGUGGAACUCCAUGUGUAGCGGUAAAAUGCGUAGAUAUAUGGAAGAACACCAGUGGCGAAGGCGGUCGCCUGGCCUGUUACUGACGCUGAGGCACGAAAGUGUGGGGAGCAAAUAGGAUUAGAUACCCCUGUAGUC